UACGUAGGGUCCGAGCGUUGUCCGGAAUUAUUGGGCGUAAAGGGCUCGUAGGCGGUUUGUCGCGUCGGGAGUGAAAACACGGGGCUUAACCCCGUGCCUGCUUCCGAUACGGGCAGACUAGAGGUAUGCAGGGGAGAACGGAAUUCCUGGUGUAGCGGUGAAAUGCGCAGAUAUCAGGAGGAACACCGGUGGCGAAGGCGGUUCUCUGGGCCGAAACUGACGCUGAGGAGCGAAAGCGUGGGGAGCAAACAGG
rnacentral:rRNA from 1 species